GUGGAGGGUAACAAUGAGGUAGGGAAAUCUGGGUAUUUUUACACCACCGUAAGGCUGCCCUCAAAACUGUCCCGUGAGUGAGAAGAGGCAACCAAAUUCAAAAGCAUGCCUGUAAGAGGUAACUGCCUGGUUGCCAUUACCGCUCCCGCAACUCCCUGUAGGCAUCUGCAUACAUCUGACUUCAUGCAUUCCGUGUUCUGUGGUGCAGAACUUUCUAGACUCUUACCUGCAACUUGUACAACUGACCAGAGACCUUUUAUUGAGAAAAAUGUAAUCUUUGCUCAGAGGCAACCAUGAAAGACGUGCGAUCCUUUCAAGACAAAUAAAAACCAUUUUCCUUAAUUUCUACAACA